rnacentral:misc_RNA from 1 species
UCGUAGGCAUACUUGGGUGAGAGUGGUC